AGAGUUUGAUCCUGGCUCAGGAUGAACGCUAGCUACAGGCUUAACACAUGCAAGUCGAGGGGAAACGAUAUUGGAAGCUUGCUUCCGAUAGGCGUCGACCGGCGCACGGGUGAGUAACGCGUAUCCAACCUGCCCAUCACUUGGGGAUAACCUUGCGAAAGUAAGACUAAUACCCAAUGACGUCUCUAGAAGACAUCUGAAGGAGAUUAAAGAUUUAUCGGUGAUGGAUGGGGAUGCGUCAGAUUAGCUUGUUGGCGGGGUAACGGCCCACCAAGGCUACGAUCAGUAGGGGUUCUGAGAGGAAGGUCCCCCACAUUGGAACUGAGACACGGUCCAAACUCCUACGGGAGGCAGCAGUGAGGAAUAUUGGUCAAUGGACGAGAGUCUGAACCAGCCAAGUAGCGUGCAGGAUGACGGCCCUAUGGGUUGUAAACUGCUUUUAUAAGGGAAUAAAGUGAGCCUCGUGAGGCUUUUUGCAUGUACCUUAUGAAUAAGGACCGGCUAAUUCCGUGCCAGCAGCCGCGGUAAUACGGAAGGUCCGGGCGUUAUCCGGAUUUAUUGGGUUUAAAGGGAGCGUAGGCCGGAGAUUAAGCGUGUUGUGAAAUGUAGACGCUCAACGUCUGCACUGCAGCGCGAACUGGUUUCCUUGAGUACGCACAAAGUGGGCGGAAUUCGUGGUGUAGCGGUGAAAUGCUUAGAUAUCACGAAGAACUCCGAUUGCGAAGGCAGCUCACUGGAGCGCAACUGACGCUGAAGCUCGAAAGUGCGGGUAUCGAACAGGAUUAGAUACCCUGGUAGUCCGCACGGUAAACGAUGGAUGCCCGCUGUUGGUCUGAAUAGGUCAGCGGCCAAGCGAAAGCAUUAAGCAUCCCACCUGGGGAGUACGCCGGCAACGGUGAAACUCAAAGGAAUUGACGGGGGCCCGCACAAGCGGAGGAACAUGUGGUUUAAUUCGAUGAUACGCGAGGAACCUUACCCGGGCUUGAAUUGCAGAGGAAGGAUUUGGAGACAAUGACGCCCUUCGGGGCCUCUGUGAAGGUGCUGCAUGGUUGUCGUCAGCUCGUGCCGUGAGGUGUCGGCUUAAGUGCCAUAACGAGCGCAACCCCUCUCCUUAGUUGCCAUCAGGUUAAGCUGGGCACUCUGGGGACACUGCCACCGUAAGGUGUGAGGAAGGUGGGGAUGACGUCAAAUCAGCACGGCCCUUACGUCCGGGGCUACACACGUGUUACAAUGGCAGGUACAGAGAGAC
rnacentral:rRNA from 1 species